GAAUGCCAUUAGGUAUCUGAUGCUCAGUUCAAUGGUCGUGGCUGGGCAUCUCGUUAUGAUGGCAAAAAGGGAAGAGCAGGUCUUGCGACACUGGUAGCUCCAUUUCUCAGAGCUUCCUGUUACUUAUUCCCUGCUUACACGC